AGAAGAGCUCCCUACCUGACCCGUCGAUCAGCCCGAAACUUCAACAUCCUUUUGGCAGCUCUGUUUCCUGUUCGGCAGCCUCAGAGGACCUGCCGGCCACCCUGCUCUUACCAUCCCUCUGAGAAAUGCCAUAUGAUAAAUCCCAGCUGGCGACUAUCAGAUCUGCUCAGGGGCAAGGAGGUUUGCAUUGCCAUGAAGUUCCCCGAACUCUCCAGUGGCCGAAGAUGGUUAGAUCUCCCCUUUUCCUAAUGCCCUCCGUGUCUCGGGGCUCUUGGACUACAAGGGUCUUCUGAAGGUUAUCUCUUCCAGUCCCCUGCCUCCAGGCGAGCUCACUCUGCGAUCAAUCUCAUUCAGUGUCCUGGCUCUCGUAAGGGUUCUAGCAAGGGAGGCUCCAGACCCACUGUUACCUUCUGCUGCUGAGAUGUGCUCUUUUGAUAUCAAAUUUCAGUCCCUCUGGCUCUCUGUAUCAUUCCAUUUCUGUCUCCAAAUGACAGAAUCCUCUCUGACCAACGUGGUUCUUUACAGCUGCACCGAAGCAGUCUGGUGUCAUCAAAUGUCCGUUGUUAUGCCACAAUAGACACUGAAAGGGAAGGGCUAAUCUAAUUUUUUGGAUUGAGGUCAGAACUCAGUCAGAGAACGGUGCAAUCAGUGAACAGAUAAGCAAAUGGACGGCAUUAUUACUGAACCCGUGAUGCGACAAGCUGGUUGGAUGUAGCCUGGGGUCAUCAGCUCCUGAUACUUAAGCAACGAAUCUUAAAUCCAAACAGUAUACACAUUCAACUAUUUCGUGGUACUUUGGCAAAUGGUGACAAGAGGCUUCAGUUGCCAGAUCCCACCUCUCCCCAUCCCGGGCCAAUUACCUGAGCCCUUCUGUGGUUCUGGGGAUCUGAGCCCUCUGCCUGCACGCAGUAGGUGCCAAAUAAAUAUUUGUUGAAUCAAGGAGUGAAUGAAUGAACAAACAAAAGAAACUCUCCAUGCUCUGACUUCAAUUUUAGCCACCUGCAUUUGGAGUUCGACACUCUAUUACCAAGAGUUUCCCCAUCUCGGCUCUCUCUUAAAAUUAAUUACUUCCUCUCCGUGAGAGAAACUCUGUAUCUGCCAGCCUCGCCCCCUCACUCAGCUCCCCUGCCUGGCUCCCCCUUGAAUAUAUAGCUUGGCUUUGAUCCAUCUUCAUUAGGAGGCGAAGAAAAUUAAGCUCAUCUGCACAGGAGGAGGGGGUGGGGGUGCAUUGGGAAAAUGAGUUUUCUUCCUCUAGAAGGCAAAUAUAUCCCCUUUCUCUUCAAGCCCAGCUCAGGGGCCUCCCACAGGCUUUGCUUAAGUUGUAAGUUAAAUUACUUCUCCCGUGCCCAGUGAAGCUAGCACAAGGGGAUAGGAAGGAAGGCUCAGGGGCUUCCCCAGCUUGGUGAGUGCUCGGAAUCCCUCAGGGUUCAAGCACACAGAAUGCCUAGCUGGGUUUCUUUUCCUUCACCACUAAACCGCACAGAAUGAUCGGUUUCCUCUUUAGGUUAGACAUCAGGAAGAACUUACCAGUUAAUAGUUAGAAAAGGAAAACAAAGCUUAAUAACUAGUUUCUUUUCUCUCUUCCUUUUUUCUUCUCUUCCUGUAUUUCCUUUUCUGCUGGGGGAAUGUCAAAGGUCUCCAUUUCUCCGGGACAAAUGAUUACAAAUUCGUCUCCAAGAGGACCUCCUGAAUUCCACCCAAAGAGGGGGAGCAUCUCAAACAGUAAAGGAGAUUCUGUGAUGGGGCACCGUGUGGUCAUCGUGUCCGCUGGACUUACAAAGGUGGCCCCAAGGGCAGUGCCACCAGUGAACACCAGGCUUUCAGUCCAAGACCAGCAUGAAUUAGCAAUGUGACCUGACUUCUUUGGUUCUUCAUUUUCUCAUGCACAAAUGAGAUACCUUCUAAUUCUAUGAAAUAAUAGCUGUAAAUUUCCUUUCUUGUUUUU